rnacentral:rRNA from 1 species
AAUAGAUACCCGGGUAGUCCAUGCUGUAAACGAUGAGAACUAGAUGUUAGGGGGCAUGACCUCUUAGUAUCGAAGCUAACGCGAUAAGUUCUCCGCCUGGGGAGUACGGCCGCAAGGUUAAAACUCAAAGAAAUUGACGGGGGCCCGCACAAGCGGUGGAGCAUGUGGUUUAAUUCGAUGCAACGCGAAGAACCUUACCUACCUUUGAAUCCACGGAACCUAGCAGAGAUGUUGGGGUGCCUUCGGGAACCGUGAGACAGGUGCUGCAUGGCUGUCGUCAGCUCGUGUCGUGAGAUGUUGGGUUAAGUCCCGUAACGAGCGCAACCCUUGUCCUUAGUUGCCAUCAGGUUAUGCUGGGCACUUUAAGGAGACUGCCGGUGAUAAACCGGAGGAAGUGGGGAUGACGUCAAGUCCUCAUGGCCCUUACAGGUAGGGCUACACACGUGCUACAAUGGGCAGUACAGAGGGAAGCCAACCCGGCGAGGGGGGAGCGAAUCUCAUAAAGCUGUUCGUAGUCCGGAUUGGAGUCUGCAACUCGACU